rnacentral:ncRNA from 1 species
AGCCCGGGUCGUGACUGGCGUUGAGGUGGAGUACCACCGGGGAGCGGCCCCACCGAGCUUGCCGCGCGCCUGGGCGAUUUCC